AUGGAACCCAGCUUUCCAAGGGGCCUGCUUUCAAAGGCAUGGCAUGCAUUUUUGGAUAGUCAAGCUUUGGCAUGUUUAUUAAAAAAGACACUCAUGUUACUUUCAGGAACUCUGCUCUUAGCCUUUCUUUUUUCUCUAGACUAUCAGUUCCCAGAGGGCCAAGAGUGAGGUUUGGGGAAUUGACUUCCUGUCUUUGAGCUCAGUUUUAUCAACGUUUCCCCAUAUGGGUCUCCUGGUAUCUGGAAGGUGGCUCGACUUCACUUAGACAUCAAGCAGCAGGCAUGGUGACAAUCCUGUGAUCUUUGAAAACCUGCUCCCCGUCUCAAAGCUGCAGUUUCUUCCCCUGUAAAAUGAGGAAAGAAUACAUAUUCUGCAGGGUUGUGAGAACUAAGUGAACUCAUGUCUGUAAGAGGCCUGGCGUGUUGGAGGCACUCCGCAAGUGGUGGCAAUUUUUGCUACAAAGGAGGUGACUGCCUGUGGGCUACAGUCUCAAACAGCCGUGCUUAUGUGGAUAGAUGCAGAGGACACACAGACCACAAAAUAAAUCAGGAAGACACCAGCGCUCAGCGCCCAAGAACAAAACAAACGAAUCCUGGAGUGACGCCCAGCACAAUGUGCCAGUGGGUCUUAUGCUAAGAGGGGGAGAAACAGCACAGAGUCCACCAUUCCUGCAGCUUGUGCCCAUGGCAGCAGAGCAAGUGGAUAAUAACUCUCUCAGAAUAAUAAUAAUAAUAAUAAUAAUAAUAAUAAUAAUCACAUCAGUCUCGAGAUCUGUCUAAACAGAGCACUCCAAGCAGCUUACUCCCAGUCAGGAAGAGUUGGUAUAUGAGCUGAAACCUCUCUGCCAGCCCAAAUUUGAUUGGUUGUCUGACUCCAAGAAUACCAAGCUAAAAGGACCAUCACCAUUACCGACCGUCCCAACGUCCUCCUGGCCUCCUGGAUCUGCAGGACAAGGUUGGCCCAUAUUUCCAAGAGGAGACUAGGACUGCCCUUCACUUAGGAGAGCCGCGGGACUGGAAAGAAAAAACCGCUCAAUGAACAAGGCGGCCAGAGAAAGCCGAGCUGCGGGGCACCUUCUAUGAAUUUCUGAUGAGCACACGGCCCUGACUCCUGGGUCCCAGCCCAGUGCAGUCAGGGAUGUUAGUUUAAGUCAUUUCGCACGGUUCACUG
rnacentral:lncRNA from 1 species